GACGUAGGGUGCGAGCGUUGUCCGGAUUUAUUGGGCGUAAAGAGCUCGUAGGCGGUUGGGCAAGUCACGUGUGAAAUCUCCACGCUCAACGUGGAGGCGCCACGUGAGACUGCCCUGACUCGAGUCCGGUAGGGGAGCGUGGAAUUCCCGGUGUAGCGGUGAAAUGCGCAGAGAUCGGGAGGAACACCCGUAGCGAAGGCGGCGCUCUGGGCCGGUACUGACGCUGAGGAGCGAAAGCGUGGGGAGCAAACAGG
rnacentral:rRNA from 1 species